rnacentral:rRNA from 1 species
GUGGAGCAUGUGGUUUAAUUCGAAGCAACGCGAAGAACCUUACCAGGUCAUGACAUCCUUUGACCACUCUAGAGAUAGAGCUUCCCCUUCGGGGGCAAAGUGACAGGUGGUGCAUGGUAGUCGUCAGCUCGUGUCGUGAGAUGUUGGGUUAAGUCCCGCAACGAGCGCAACCCUUAUUGUUAGUUGCCAUAAUUCAGUUGGUCACUCUAGCAAGACUGCCGGUGACAAACAGG